rnacentral:rRNA from 1 species
AGGGAAUUUUCCGCAAUGGGCGAAAGCCUGACGGAGCAACGCCGCGUGAGGGAAGAAGGUUUUCGGAUCGUAAACCUCUGUCUUUGAGGACGAUAAUGACGGUACUCAAGGAGGAAGCCACGGCUAACUACGUGCCAGCAGCCGCGGUAAUACGUAGGUGGCGAGCGUUGUCCGGAAUUACUGGGCGUAAAGGGCGUGUAGGCGGUUUUCUAAGUCAGACGUGAAAACUCCGGGCUUAACCCGGAACCUGCGUUUGAAACUGGGAGACUAGAGGACCGGAGAGGGUAGUGGAAUUCCCAGUGUAGCGGUGAAAUGCGUAGAUAUUGGGAGGAACACCAGUGGCGAAGGCGACUACCUGGACGGCACCUGACGCUGAGGCGCGAAAGCUAGGGGAGCAAAC